rnacentral:rRNA from 1 species
UACGUAGGCAGCGAGCGUUGUUCGGAGUUACUGGCGUAAAGGUGCGUAGGCGGCCUUAUAAGUAUGGUGUGAAAUCUCCCGGCUUAACUGGGAGGGUGCGCUAUAGACUGUGGGGCUAGAGUGUGGGAGAGGAAAGUGGAAUUCCUGGUGUAGCGGUGAAAUGCGUAGAUAUCAGGAGGAACACCGGUGGUGUAAACGGCU